rnacentral:lncRNA from 1 species
CCCCCCGCCCCCACCCAGGCCACCAGCCCCUCCACCACACCCCAAGCACAGAGCUACCUAAUGGACUGGCCUUCGCCCAACUGGAGCCUCCUGGGGGCCUCUGGCCUGCACCGUGCCCUGCCAGCUUCAGGGACUGUCGGCAGCCUGGACUUCCUGGUCAGCCGCAGUGUGGGCAUCCCUGUGUGGGGUUCAGGACUGAAUUCUGUGUUUGUGGUUUUGCUUCCUUUUUUAGACCAACAAAUGUUUUUAUUCAAAUAGAAAAGAGCUGUGCUCGGACUGUAGGCCGCGGUGGGGAUUCGGGGAUCGGUGAGGCUGCUCAGCUGGCCUGGGAGGGGCCGGACGGGAGGUGGGGUUGGUGUGGGGUUUCUCUCUGUGCUGUGCUCCCAGCCCUGAGGACUUCGGAGGAGAGCUCUUCUGAUUGACCACCUCACAGGAAUCCUUUGCUGUCCUAUGGCAAUUACCCUUCUUGUCGUUCCACCUGAGGGCCCCUGGUCUAUUCUAGGGCCAUUAGGGCUGGAUGGAGCCAUGCAGUCUGGUUUUGAGUGGGGUAACUAAGGGAAAGGUAUUCAUGGAGGAAGCGAUGGGGAGAGCCUGAGGAGAAAGUAUCUUCUGGUGAGAUGUAAGGCUCCAAGGCUCCUGUUGCUGCCACAUUGUCCCCCAAACAGACACUGUGUGUCUCCCACUAAUGGUCUGGGAAGAAGGGGGUGAUGGAAAGUGGUUAGAGGCUGGUGGGCAACUGGGAAUGAGGGAUGUGCUAGGGUUUCAACUCAGGGCACUGAGUCAUUGUGGCCUAAUGGAAAAAGGCAAUUCCUUGGAACAAGGGGCACGGAAGGAGACUAUAGUUGUCAGAUCACCCUCGUCUUAGUCCCACAGGCCUCCGUGUUGGCCUUGGGGUCAUGUCUUCAUCCUGUUCAACUGCCCAUCUUAAGAGUAGAAGAAAAUGGGUCUCAGAGCAAGGGAGAGCAGAGAGAAUGGGCCUGCUUACUCGCUGCCCUUGCCGGACUCUGUGUAGAGUCUACAGGUCGAUUUCUUCACCUUGGCAGGUAAAAAAAAUAAGCUUUUUGGAGAGUGCAGGAGAUGGAGAAUAGGGCUGUGGAAACUGAAGGGGUACUCUAGGGCUCUGGGGCUGAGUGGAGUGCAUUAUUUCUCCUGUACUGGGACAGGACCAAGAAGACUCACUCUACCGUGUCUCAGUUUCCCCAUCUGCCAAAUGAGGGUUGUGCUUGCUAAUCUCUGGCCCCUUCUAGCUCUGAAAUUCUUAGAUUCUGACAGCAUCGAGUCACUGUGUCAUUUUUCUCAAUGCCACUCUGGAAUGCCAGGAUAGCCCUCCACAGGCCUCGCACGAGUCGGGGGAAGCUGCCUCUGAGGGCUCCUAGGCCUGGGCACAGGUGGGUUUCAAUAAGACACUCCUCUCCUCCUUUGCACCUAUGUCACCACAAUUCAGAGGCUUUAGUGCCUGAGGCUGCUUUAGGCCCAGAGGGAGCACUUGGCCUCCUUCCCCUUUCUAACCUUUCUACACAGCAGAAACACACUGGCGAAGGUUUAUUUAUUUAUUUAUUUUUCAAACAGCCUAAUGUGGUAAAUGAGUCUUGAGAUGGCAUCCCAUUAGCCAAUACGGCCACUCUGGUUCUCUCCACUCUCAUCCCUCCAUACGAAAACCCAUACUUUAAAAGACCAUGACAGAGUAGGGUGAGAGCGUAGCUUGACGUGAGCUCCAUUGUGACUGCUGGUGGAUGUUCCAGGCCACUCAGACUGAUCUCCCUGCCAUGCCAUGCUCACCUGGUCCCUUCCUGGACUAAGCAAGAGUGAUUUGCUGUUGGAUGCCCACCUUGGAGUCAGGUGCCAUGGCCAAGGGUCCUUCCAGUUCUUCUUUGCUGUGGACUUGAACCAAAUGCUGCCCUCUAAUUAUGUCCCUGACCUCUGAGUGGAUCUUAAGAGUCACUAAGUCUCCUCUUGUUAACAACAAAGGACUUGAUGCUUCCUCCACUCAGCAGAUCAUGCACAAAUCAUCCCUGGAGAGAAGCUUCCCAACGAGACAAAAGGAUCCUUGGUCCUUCUGGGUUCAAGUGGCACAUUACCGUCCUUCUCUGGCGAUGCUUACUUUGCGGAAUACACUAGUGCAAGUAUUUUUGGUGCUAAAUACUACAGAAACCAACACCAACAGGAGAGCUGACAGCCAGUCUCUGGGGCUGCAUGAGACUCAACUCAGAAGCAAAAGUGAGUCAGUCAUGCUGGGAAAGUACAGGAUGCGUGGGAAGCCAGGUGGGAAUGUGGGGUGAUGGAAAGACCAUCGCAAAUCCUGGCUUAGCUCUUAGUUACCUGGCUGACCUUGGCUGGAUCAACUAAUUUUUAAGAUGGUCAGAUUUCUCAUCUGAGACAUUUAAGAGGUUAGAAUAGAUAUUCUGGUGGUUCCUUUUAGUUAAAAAAAAAAAAACUAUAUUCUGGUCCCACCUGGGUUUUUGGCUUUUGUGUUAUUGUUUGUUUUUUAACUUGCUGUUAGGAAAUAAGAGAGAAAAUGAAAGACAGAUAAGGAAAGGGAAGAGAAAAAAUUGCCAAUGGCAAGAAAUUGAUUAUAGAAGGCAAAUAACGAAGGCUCCAUGAGUUAGGUUUGUGGGGAGUUGGUGGGGAGAGCCAGGCAGAUAAGCCAGGGACCCCAUUUUUGUGCUCCUCAACGAAGGCUGCCACCUGGCCCCUUGGUUGACUUCCACCAGGCAGUCCUCCUAACUAGCCACGUACUCCAUUUCAACACGGACAUACCCAAGUCGGCAGAAACUAUUCCAAGAUAUGGAGACAGGCCUAUCCACUUGGCAUGCAGGCCACUGGCAAUCUGAACUCUGGGUCAGAAACAAAGUGAGUUUUUCCCUGAGCUGCUGUUGUAAGGAGGUAGGGUACUGGAAAGAGGGCACCAUUGUAAGUUGCAGGCUAUUCACUAAAGUCCUGUUCUGUUCAGGAAUGCCUAAUGGCUUCCUUGCUGUCCUUUUCCAAAUCAAAUAGCAGCAGUGUUAUCCUGACUUGAGGUACAGUUGUUGCAACUUGAGGUGGCAGCCUUGAGAUUUGGGGGUCUCCUCUGUGCUUUGCUCAGUGUCAGAAGCAAAGAAAGAUCUAUAGAUGUUUGUUGAAUGAACUCAUGUGCUGGCUAUCUAGACAGCUGCCCUUCACUGUCCCUGGGAUGUCUACUGUCAGCUUUGGUUGGAAGCCAAACCUGCUAGAAUACCCAAAGGCGUACACCUUAGAGCUAAAAAUGGCACCCUUUUGGUCCCUAGAGCACCAACCUCUUCUUUGAUACCAAAUAAAUUUUUUGGUCAACCCUUAAUAGGUUUUAAAGGAAAAUUCCAAGCUUUUGUAUCACUAUCAAAAUAUCACUAUAGGACUUCAGAAAAUAUUUUAAGAUUUCUUAGCAUCACUGGAAGUGUCAUCCUAGGGACAGCAUGGCCUGUAUACAGUGUAUGCUUAUAUCUAUAUAUUUCAUUGGAAUGGCUUCAGUGAAGGUUCGCUUGGAGUCAGCAAAUUGAUUUCACAAUGCUUGGUCUCUCUAAGCCUUACAUUUCUUAGGAAUAAGAAAUCCAGCGAUGGACUGGCCUAAGAGACGUUCAGAAACGUACUGAUGGGAAAUUCAUCAUCUUGUAAAGUUUGAUUGUUUGGUGCUCCCCGAAUUAAAUUAUGCUGAUGACAAUAUUCUGAGCAUCUGAAAACUACUCUUCCUGGUGGUUUGAUAGAUUCCCUUAUGGGAGCCCUUUCUGCCACAUCCCAUUUGGAGGUUGGUAUUGAAUUCACCAGCACUGCAGUUAAAACCACCCCCUAGGAGAAGUGGGACAGGGAGAAUAUGAGGUGUUGAUACUUGCUCACUCUUUCUGAAAGGCAUUGCUGAUGGUGGAGGAUGUGGUGAAUAUUUGUUUCACUGCAUUGGGUGUUGGGGCUUUUGCCAGGAGCACGGGCUGUUCCACCCUAAGGACCUGAAUCUUGGCUUCUGAUAGAGUCUUGUUUCCCUGGUGCAUUCUCCCAGGCAUAGUUCCUUUGACUGCCUAAAAUAAUUCUAUAUUUUGCAACAAGAGAUGUCUCUGGCCCAAGUCUCAGUGGGCCAAUAUAGACACUUUUCUAUUCCACAAGGGAUCCAUGGAGACUGGGGGACACCCUUAAAGUACUGGGAAUUCUUGAUUCAAGUAAUAAAAUUCAGAUUCCCUUUCCUCUUUAGCUAAGUUCCAAAUUGAAAGCAAAGCUUGGGUUGAUAUUUGCAGUAGAGAUAACGUCUUAAGCCGGCGUGCUGGGCUAUCUCCCAUCAAGGAGAGACAGAGCAUUACAGCUACCUGACAUUAAUUAAUUUUUCCUAAUCACCAAGGUAAACAUUGCUUUGUGUGCAGUGCUAUGCCCCAAGCUUGUAGCUUGCGAGAGAUACUUAAGGCCAACAAAACUAGAUCUCUCUAACAGAAGAUGUAUCAAGAUAACAUAGAUGAGGAAAGGCCUGUUGGACAGCUACUUCUGACACAUGCCUUGGCCCUCAGGUCUUGCUUUUAAGUUUUCCAUCUUAUGAGAGGAUUUGGUUUCUAGUCACUUUAGAGGAUGACAAAUUUAGACGUCCUUCCUGGAAGCCAAUGGUAGACUGAGAGCCCAGAUGUCCGCUGUGUACUCUGACGUUGUCUUGGCUGCACCAUCAGUAAAGCCCAGUGAGAAAUGUGGAUGCUCAUGUCUAAGCUGAUACUUAUCACUUCAUUUAAGAAGAGAGCAUGGAUGUCAUUAAAAAAAAAGACUUUUGUAAUCUGUUCACUGCUAGGACCUACUCAAAUGACUAGCUUUCGUAAAUGUUUUGCUUUUUCUUGGAGAAGUGUCCACAUUCCAUCUCCAUUUAACAGCCACCUGACACUUACCUCAUGUCUCUGAGCUCACUCUGGAGUGAGUAAACAAACCUGGUGCAGGUGUUGUGAUUUUUGCUUUCCGUAGUACAGAAGUAAAUCUCAGUAUAGAAGAUUUUCUUUCAUUUUUGCUCUUUUUACUUUUGCUUUUUCUUUUGGCUCCUAUCUUCCUGCUUCCAUGGGACUGACAACCCAGCUUCUCAAACUCUGUGAAAGUCUUAAUACAAGGUGAAUCCUAGGACCACAAACAGUUUGGACUUCAAACAGUGAGAAAAUUGGUGCUGAAUGAUUCGGCACACAAAGCAGAAAACUUUCAUUUCCUACAGGCAGGAUGGAAUUGACUGUUAUAUUAAGACUUCUGAAGGAGCCCUGCCCUGGAGUAAUUUCUUCACUGUCAGACAAUGUUGACAUCUAGAUUAACCUCUGUGCAGUGAAGUUUACUGCAAAGCUCAUUGAGAUGCAUGUUGUGUAUCUUUGCAAAUCCCAUCAGGAACCCUUGUGGCCCACCCUCAGCAACCCCCCCUCCCUUCCUCACCCACUGCUCUCUCCGUCUAUGAACUUUUAGUCUCCAGGAGUCGAGGAGCCAUGGCUGGGAUCUGACUCCAGGAGAGACAGUUUUGACCUUUCUCUGACCAUGGUGCUGAGCCAGCUUUCUGCUCAGUUGGAGUGACAGUGGUUGUCAUCAUAUUGGUGUUCCCCUGAGGGGACUGUAAAUCAAGGCAUAAAAGCCCCUCUGCUGAUGACAAACAGUUUCACAGUGUAUCUCGAUGCUGCACAAAGUAAAACGGUUUAUGAGAAUUAAUGUACCCGUUGUCAGUGAGCCCUGCUCUGGGCUCCCCAGUGCUCCAGCACUCCCAGGUCCAGAUGCAACAGGCCUUGACUGCAGCCAGGUGGCCAGAGGGGCUGGUGGGUCUGAUAGAAAAAGGGCUUACCCUGUGUCUGUGCAGGUGUUUCCUAUGGUCCUUACAAGAGAGGCAGCCCUGGCUCCUUUUUCUCCUGGUUGGGACAGAGAGUGUAGCUGUUACCCAAACCCCAGCUUGUCAGCUCUCUAUGAUGUGAUGGGGUCCAGAAUGAACCGACCCUUUCUAACUCACUAUGUGGUCCAUAUGGAGGCACAAUGGCCAGCGGAAACCUCAAAGCUGAAAUCACAUAUUCUGUACAAACUAGGGCUAUUGAUUCAUCAAAAGUCUUGAGAAAGGGCCGUUAGCUCAGUCACAGCCACCUUCAGCCUCCGCCAAUCUGCUCCACAUCAUCACGGCUGUUUUUGGGAACUCAUCUUGGGACUUUAGAAUACUGUGCCCCAAAGUUCGGAGAACAGAUUUCUCUGGGGUUUUACUUAUGCUGAUUCUCUUUGAAAUUGUUUUUCCUACUUUUCCUCUUGUCUUUAGUAUGAGUAACAAGAAUCUCCUUGUAUAUUCUGAGACAUUUCUUUAGAAGAAAUGAAAGUUUCCAGCCAAGGACAUUGUGUUUAUUGACUGGGAAAAUAGAUUUCUGGGCCAAGUAAUGUCACAACCAUACUGAGGCAAACCUGACGACUUUAUUUAAAAGCAAUUAUCAGUGUAGUAUUUUGUUCUAGAUGCUCAGGCUUACAUAGUGCAGACUACAUUUGUCUUUUUUAUUAUUUAUGAUAUUAUGAUUCUUGUUCAUGUGUGCACAUAUGCGCACACACGCGCAGACACGCAUACACACAAAUGCUUCUAUUGGACUUCUAUUGGUCCAAUAUGGUUCAACAAACCGAUGGGCCCCAUUAGUCUUUCUCCUACUGAUCUCUGUGUGUAUUUAUGUUCAGAUAAGUGUGCGCCAAGUGUGUGGUUUCUUAAAUUUUUCUAUAGCUCACCCUUUCUUUUAUUAUCGUUACACUGUCUUUGACUUUUUGCACUGUGGAUCAUUUAUGAAGUGAGGGCUUUUUAAAAGGAGACUAAAUCCUGAGUUUUAAGAACCUUCAUAUUUAAAGACUGGACUAGUUUUCUCAGAGAAACUCAAAACCAAACCCAAUCUUGAUACAGGUUUUAUUUGAUUAAUUUGGGGGAGGCACUGAAUUUGGGCCUGAAUAAUACAUAUUAAGUACAAAUAUAAAUGUGAACUAGUUCAAGCAGAUUCCUGAACCUAUCAUGGGGCUAAAACCAUUAGAUAUAAAACUCAAACAUUCAAAUUGAAUUGGAAUAUGAAGUGAAAGAGUUAACGUGGGACGUGAGAAUAUCACUGAGUUCGAAGUGAGCUGGCCGGACUCAGUGCUACUUGGUGGGUGACUGUGCACGAUCACCUCAGUUAUCUGGGUCAAAUAUAAAGGGGGCAGCUGGAAACUAAUUGCAGACCUGUGCCCCUUCUCUGAUUGCGGUGAUGGGGCAAGCCAAUAGAUUUCUCAGCCAUUGCUCAGAUAAGGUACCACUGAAAUGGAUCUCCUCAAGGUCUCACCUUUGGGCAAGUUUGCGCAUGUCCGCACCCUGAAGAGUCAGCCCCGUUUUCAUCUUGUGUUCAGUUCAUCCUUGCAGCUGUCCUUCGAAUGUUCUCCAAACUCUGACCUCUUACCCCCAUCUGCCGUUCCCCACCCCGCCCCUUUACAGGCCCUGUUCUGUCUCUGCAAAGGCAGGGAAAGCCCGACUGCCCAUUUCCCUCUUCCCUAGCAUCAGCCAUGCCUGUGACUUAGCCCAAGUUUUGGGGGAAGAAAACAGUGUGUUCUAGCAGCCAUCCUUGUCUCUUUCCAGCUCCUGGACCCAGUGAUUAGCUCCUCAUUAGCACCUCAUCAGUGGCUUUUGCACAGAGACUCUUGGACAACAAGCCUAAAAUAAUGCUUGUGGUCUGUCUUUUUGCAGUCAUCCUUUCCUUCUGGCUUGGUUAGGAGAGGCAAGCCUUGCUACAAACAGCUUUUCCUUCAAAUUUCUCUGGCUUUUGUUCUGUCUGUUAAAUAUACUGGUAAAUGGCAAACUACGGUAUUCUUUUUUUUCCCCCCCCCGAUCCUAUCAGUGUAGGAGUACUGUGUCCCUAUGGAAUAGGAGCACGGCUUAUCAGCAAAGUGUUUAUUUAGUGGAGGGGCUGUAAUAUUGACACACAGAUUUGCAGCAGCAUCCAAAUCUUGAGGGGGGGACAAAGUGUCUUUUUUGAUCAAGUGAGAUCUUCACUGUGAUGACAUCAGAAAGGUUUAUGCCUUAAGGACAGACUUGAACCUGAGAACAUGCUCCCUUUUUGGGGAACAAUGAGGGGGAAGAAAUCACCCAAGGAUGUGGGAGACCAGACCCUCCAUUUCACAAACGACUAUUUACCAAUAGAAACUUUGUGUCAUCUAAGUGGCUCUGAAAAACACAAUAAUAAACUAUGACUAACUAUCCACAUUUACCAUUAAAAGCAAAUUCAUCAUGUCUAACCCAACCCCUACUUUUUAAAAGUAUCAUUUUUUCUCAUAACCCUGGAGAUGGCUCAAUGUUGUUUCUUUUCCCUGGUCCCUUCUAAUAUUUUCAAUGAGAUUUCUAAAAAUUUUUCCUUUAAUUCCUUCCAGAAAGAUAUGGGGUCUAUUUUAAAUGCCGUCUAUGAUAAAAUGGCAAGAUAAGUAGAAAGUGGGGAAGUGGGGUGGAGGGUAGGCUGUGUGACGAAGAGGCAGAAAAUUUCUGAGAUUCUAUUUCCUGCUGAGUGAUCCUGGAAGAAGCAUGAUCUCCUCUGUGCCUCAUUUUCUCGAUCUACAAAAAAGAACUGCUACCAAACCCUGCCUGCCCAGAUUACGAUGAACGCCAGAAGAGAUCACAGCUGCCAGUUCCAUGGGCCCCACAAGACGCCCCCAGAUAAGUGGAACCCACUCUCUGCACAGGGAGUGGUGCAAAUAGUCUUGCUGGGCGCUGAGUGUGAGCUGCUUUGUGGCGUGUGCCACGUCUUCAGGUGCUCCUUCCUUAAAUUCCUCCUGAAGUUUGGUUUCUAGAUUUUAUCAUUAGCAUUUUCCUCUUUGAAUGACCAUUGGGCACAUAGGGAUGGCAAAUACCUUUCCAAAAUUACUGUCAGAAAGAGGAUGUUUUACCCAUUUGGCUCUCUCAUUGAAAGCAUAGAUUUUAUUUUCAGACUUGGAACCCUGAACAUUUUGUAACAAAAUGGCAUCUGCUGCUGCGUUUAUCCAUUGUUACUUUCAGGAGGUUCUAUAGAUUUAAAUGUAAUGUUUUUUAAAGUAAGACUACAUGAAGCUUCCUCUAUAAAUUGGGUGGUGGGACUAAUCUUGCAGGAAGCACCCAGAGUGAUAAUGAUCCUGAAGCAGUAACACGUUCAUUCUAAGGCCAGCAUUUUGUACAUGGGGAAAUAAUCUUAAGACAGAAAGAGCUGCUUGGGUGAAGACCAAAUGCUAAACACACUUCAAAUAGCCUUGGGCACCAACAAAUAGGUGUGAGUGAGAUUCACACUGAGAAACAUAUCUGAUUGAAAAUGAAACUCCUGACAAUAAAUUUUGAGGCCAGAUUGCCAAGGUUCUAUCAGUGAUGUCAUUUAUAGCCCCUAAAAAAAAUCCCAGGUGUUUGUGAUACCAGCCACUAUUAUAAAUAGCUUACAGUGGUGAGGCCUUGGCAAGUUAAAUCUUUUUAAUGUAAUUUCCUUUAGCUCUCUGAGCAACAAUCAGGUGUCAUGCAACUGACUAAAUGCUGUGCUUGAUUGAAAAACAUGGAAUUUUGACCACUCCCGAGAGAAAUCAGAAUAAAGCGUAUUACAUGAAAUCCUAAAAAAUUCACAAAUGUUUUGCUCAAGUUCUGGAUCCUUUUUUUCUUUUUACCAUGGAUUCAUUUCCCUUUUCUUUUCUUUUCGUCAUGUAGAAGAGUCGCACCUCUGGUCUGAAUCUCUCUGUCCAGGUGAUUUUCGCCUGCAGCUGUCCAGCAGACAGAGAGCAUUUCAGCUUUCUUUGAAAUGAGAGUCGAAAUUGGGUUAUGAAUAGAAUUUUAAAUUAUGGUAUGAAGUUAGAGAAGGCAAGCUGGUUCAGGGCAGCAUUCCAGAAUUCAUUCUGAUAGUCCCGAGGAGAUGACCUCCGUCACAACACCGUGGAGGCCUGCCUUGAACAAGCCAUUCCACUGUGUAAUUUCCUAGCAACAAGUCUGAUUAUUUAAGGAUUUCAGAGGUAUCAUUUGAGAAAUGACUCACUUGACAUGGAAAAUUUGAUCUAAUAUGUUAACAGGAGCAACAAGAACUUACUUUAAUGCUUUUUCUUUUCCCCUCUGAAAGUUUAUUUAGGCUUUCUUGGGGAUCCAUUGGGAUAUUUUCUUUUCAAGACUGGAAAUGAUUGAUUAUAGUUCAUGUCUAAAAGCAAAAGCCCCCCUAACUCAUUGGAGUUGGAGGCAACAAAAAAUGACCCAUGUUAGUUUUCUGUUAUCCCACAUAAUCAAGGACCCUUCUUGGUUAUGUUUGUGGGCCAUGGCGGGUGAGCUCAAGGGCAUUGUCAAAAUAGAAUGAAAAGAAAGCAAGUUGAGACAAGAAAAUUCUCACUUUGAGUGUGGGUGAAAACAGCAGUCCUGCUCUCUCUGGCAAAGAUUCAUGUACCGUUAAGGGAAGAAUCAUGUUCUUUCUCAAGUACGUUUUACUUUCUGAGAUUUCUUGUGUUUCUCUGUGUGUUGGCUGGGGGAGGCGUUUAUAAGUUUAGACUUUCUCUUGAGCACAGUAAAAACUCUGCUCAGUUUCUCAGAAGGUGACAAUAAAAUUAGAGGUGGAGAGGAAUUCAGAGACCCGUGUUUCAGUAUGUGGUAAAGUUUUACCCAAAUAUUUCCUUCAGGAACGUUUAGUCAUAGUAAGCCAAGUCAAUCCCAUGUCUGCAGUUGUUAUCAGGAAAAAUAAAUUAGCAGGCAGUUUCCACAGACUCUGAUGCUGCAUCCAUUUUGGUCCUUGAGUCACAUGAAGUAACAUACCAAUAGGGACUGAAUGGGGAGGUGGUUUGGAUGAGCUACCCCAUCAGAAUUAUGGCAAUGCAUUAGUUCUGUCCCGAACUAGAGUCACUUCAGAGCUGCUUUUCAUUUGAAAUGGCACAAAAAAGAGGCAUUGAAAACAUGUUUGGAGGCCUGUCACCUAAAGUCAGCCUCUGCUGAAACAGUUUUCAGUGUGAUAGGCAUCUGUUUUCAGCACCAGGGACAGCAAACACCUCCUCGAUUGAACCUGCAGUCCUGAUUGACCUUCCACACACUGAAGGGCGGGUUUUUCCUUUACUUCCUAUUCAUUGGGGCCUCAUCCUGGAAGACUUUAUUCUUAAGUUUUGGUGCUUACAUCUUCUAUUUAUUUUCAAGCCUGGUGGCUAAGCUGUUUGUGUCACAUUCUGGACGUGCUAAAAAAUGAUGAGGAUUGAACUAACACAUCCAGGUCUCCUGGCCCAGAGGAGUGGAAAGAAAGACACCAAGACAUCAAUGAAGGGCACAUUGGCACAAGCACCUCCUGGAAAAAGUGUUCACAAGGCACCUUUGACUCCUAAACUCCCCAGUGGGAGACUGCUUAUUGGCAAUCACUUUCUUUUUACAAUUUCUGCACAGUUCCCACAAUGUCCAAGUCUAUGUUUCACUCGGUGUGUGUUUGUAGGCAAUAUUUCACAGGAGUUGAGCAGAAACUAUGAACUUUGAGGACAGAAAGUGGCCCAGUGAUGCUGUUGUUAGGCAUAUUGGAGAGUUGGGGCCGGGCACUGCUUUGGAUGCCACCAGCUGCCCUCCAAUCCUGAGUGCUGUUAAGCAGCUCACUUUGCCUUAAACAACCAUAGUAAAAAUGCAGAUGGCUCCUUUAGGCCUCUGUCAGGCCAGACUGAAGGGAUGCACUGAGAAAAUCAACGUAGUGGAAGCACAUGUUGUCACUUUGCCUUGUGAUUGGCCAGUUGUCAUAUAGCACAAUAACACAUUAGAUGCAUCUUAGAGGCAGCAUUGUCUUCUCUUAAUUAACCCCUCAUGUCAGGAUAGCCCCAGUGCUGGGAAGGUAAGACAGUCACCGAGGAUUUCACCUUAAAUACUUUUUCUGUUUCACAGGAGUUAAAUGAACUCCACUUCAACUGCCUCUGGACCAUCCAAAGCACUGAACACUCCACUGUACCCUCUCUUCUUCCCCUCCUUCAGUGUUGCUUAUCAUAAUUUGUAACAUUUAGUGGUACAAGACCAUAAAGGAUUCUUUUUAAGGAUAAAUGAGGUGGUCAAAACAGGCUAGAGCCACAUCUCAGACAAACAAGUUCAAUGGAACUGCAAUUCUUAACCUUGAAGUGGAUCUGAGGACAAUCCAUUCUUCCUCCAUUCCUUGCCUUUUGAGGGCAUCUCAUUCCAGUUCUCACACUUGCCAUGCAAAAAGGCCAAAGGAAGAGUUUCUCUAGAUUAUUUAUGUGAGGACUGGGGGAAGGAAGGGUCAAAAAUUUUCUAUUAGAACUCUGUAGAAUAGAGGAGCUUUGUUUUUUAUUGAAAUCAAGGAACAAGCCUAGUUUUGACAGAAUAUGUAUGUGAAGGACCACCAGGUAUAGGAGAGCUUGAUGGGGGAAAUUCUGUUUCCUUAGAACAGAGAGGGAGGAGUUGCAGAUUGACUGGUAGGAAACAAAUGAUCCACUGGCCAGGGGGAAAGGUAGUCUGAGACUGGAGAUACAGAAGCAGGCAUCUUUAGACAUAGAGGUGAUGCCAAUGGAAGCCUCAGGAAAGAACAGGCCAGAGAAUAAAAUCCUACAGAGGCUGUCAGUACUUUUUCUGGAAAUUUCCUAAAAUUUUCAAGGGCACUUCUAGCCCUCUGCCUCCUUAAAGGUGAACUCAGUGCUACUUCUGGGUUCUUAAGGCAAAUGCCCUACAAACACCAAAGUCUUGUAUUUUCCACUCUCAGCCAAUGCUGGCUGUCCUGAGUGGAAUAUUUUCCCCUUCCCUAUGUGAAAGGGACUUGUUUUCAGGAGAAGUGUCCUUUAAUUAUCCAGCUAAAACUGGAGGUAAUUUUUUGCAUGAAUGGCUUUUUACAGCUAGGUCUAAAGCCGAACAAAACUUGUAUUAAACUAAGUGCUACUUUACAUAUCUUAUUUCAAGAGAAAUGAAGGAUUUAUUGCCGUGUAAAUGAUGUACACUGAUUUGUUUCCUACUGGACAUUACAUGUCCCUUUAUCUUUAGGCUGAUAUUGCGCAGCAAACUUUCAAUAUCUGGAAAAUCAGCCAGUACCUACUUCAGUGCACUAGUUGGGUAUUAUGUUCUCAGAGAGGAAUUUUGCGAAUGAAGUUUAGGUGCUGUUGUAACUGAUUUCCGCCCUCAUCCCUAAGCUUUCUGUAUUAAAUAUAUGUAAAGUGAUUAUAUCUCGUCAGACCCCAUGUGUUUGUGUGUGUUUCCCAAUGUAUGUAUAAAUAUAUCGGCCAACUGAAGGGUAAGUUGGAUUAUAGCAACUGCUGAACAAUGGUGUAGAUGGCAGUGGUCAUGUGAUACAUCCACACUCUUGUUCUCAGGCCAAGCUAAUCUUACAGAGUUUAGAAAAAACACAAUGUGGCAUGGCUUGGAAAAAUCUUAACAGUAGAUAUAGUCUUGCCAGGCCAUCGUUCUUUGGUGGAAACCUUGGCGGCAGCAAAGUUGAGAUGUACUCAACUGGACCUUACGUCAUUUAUUUUUAUCUCAAUUGAUUGUUCCUCAGUUCUCUUUUAUGACUUAGAAAUACUCCCCCAUGAUGCCUGUUUGUUUUUUGCCAAGGCCACUGGAAAGUGCUGAUCGUGUUUGCUCCCCAUCACUUGAAUCCCAAAGUUAUUAACUCACGGUGGCUGACUGAGGUUUUAGUAAACCUGGGUUUUACGAAUAGUACCCCUUCUAUUUCUUCCAUUCAUUUCCUUUUAAAAAAAAUCCAUGGGUUAUGCUAGGUUUAUUCGCAUCCUGGUGAGCCUUGGAGAAUCAAUUUAGUUAAAAUGAUGACUGUAUCUGCCUUUGGAGAAGAGGCUUAUGUUAUAAAAUUCUUAUGUAAAUAUGUCCUUUAUGCAAAAACUAUGGAUUCUAACAUGGUAGGAUGGCCCCUGUGUAGGAGAUAUGUGUUCUCAGUUGAUAUUAAGGGAUGCAUUGAAAAGGCAAGUGCUCCCUAUCUCUAUUCCCUACACUGCUCUUCCUUCCUCCCCAACCUCAAAAGGAAACAGAAAAUUAUUUUUUUAAAUUGUAUUAAUAAUUUAUGUUUAAUACAAAAGGAUGAUUUAAUGGUAUCACCAAAGGUCAUUUCUCCCAUUGUGCAUGUCCUUCACUCUCGGCCCCAUACCCAUCACCCCAUUCUUCACCCUCAUGCUUCAUCCCAAGGCAAACACGUGUCUUCAUUGGAAUCUAUCAGUGUUGGAGUUAAAUGUAGGGGCAGAGAUUUAACACCAUGACACUAAUGAAAACCAACCAUUCUUCACUUUCAAAUGGUUAAUUACUACAAGAAGGCAAACUCUUUUCUUGGUUUUUGUUUAAAAACAUUUUAUACAUAUAUAUGUAUAUAUGUGUGUGUAUGUAUGGACAUAUGUAUGUAUAUGCACAUGUACAUGUAUAUAUGUAUAUAUCCAUCUCCAAUAUAAAUAUAUCAUAUGUGAGAUUUGUAAAUACUCCUUGGUCAUAUGUCUGUCUCCCUCAUGGUAUCGUAUCUUCAGUGUUUUGUUAACGACUCCAUUUAUUGAUUGAUGAAAUCGUGUGUAGACUGUGUCCUCCUGACAUGGUUUAUGUAGGGUCUCUUCUCAAAUAAAGUAUAAAACAUCAAUGCCCUUGUUUUAUUUGGAUUCAUUAUUUGAUAGGGAAGAGUGUUGAAUUUAAAGGUAGGUGGAAGUUUGGGAAAGUCCGAAUGUACGCACAGAUUGCAGGAUUUUGUGUCACCUUGAGAGCUGGAUCCUUGGGUUGCUGAGGGUAAAAGUGGCUUGCACAAGGUGUAAGGUGGCCUCCAAGCUGGAUACUGGAUUGAUAUGUGUGUUUCAAGAAGAACAUACACACGUUUAUGAUUUGAGGUGGGGUUCAAGGAAAGGAUUUGCCACCUCCAGCUCUCUGUCCUGUCACUCCAUAUGUGUUAUUAAAACUUCCCGGUUAUAACUAUUUCAGUUAUGUUCCCAAGGUGGGAUAAAAC